rnacentral:rRNA from 1 species
CUACGGGGUGCAGCAGUGGGGAAUAUUGGGCAAUGGGCGCAAGCCUGACCCAGCAACGCCGCGUGAGGGAAGAAUGGGUGAGGAGUGUAGGCAGCGGGCCGGGGGGAAGAAAAAAAGGACGGUACCCAAGGAGGAAGCUCCGGCUAACUACGUGCCAGCAGCCGCGGUAAUACGUAGGGAGCAAGCGUUGUCCGGAAUUAUUGGGCGUAAAGGGUGCGUAGGCGGCGCUGUAAGUCAGAUGUGAAAUCCCCGGGCUUAACUCGGGAGUUGCAUUUGAAACUACAGUGCUUGAGUAAAGAAGGGGUAAGUGGAAUUCCUAGUGUAGCGGUGGAAUGCGUAGAUAUUAGGAGGAACACCAGUGGCGAAGGCGACUUACUGGUCUUUUACUGACGCUGAGGCACGAAAGCGUGGGGAGCAAACAGGAUUAGAUACCCGAGUAGUC